rnacentral:miRNA from 1 species
UGUGUGUGUGUGUGUGUGUGUGUGUAUGCACGCACGCACACACACACACACACACACACACA